rnacentral:rRNA from 1 species
ACUCCUGCGGGAGGCAGCAGUGGGGAAUUUUGGACAAUGGGCGAAAGCCUGAUCCAGCCAUGCCGCGUGCAGGAUGAAGGCCUUCGGGUUGUAAACUGCUUUUGUACGGAACGAAACGGCCUUUUCUAAUAAAGAGGGCUAAUGACGGUACCGUAAGAAUAAGCACCGGCUAACUACGUGCCAGCAGCCGCGGUAAUACGUAGGGUGCAAGCGUUAAUCGGAAUUACUGGGCGUAAAGCGUGCGCAGGCGGUUAUGUAAGACAGUUGUGAAAUCCCCGGGCUCAACCUGGGAACUGCAUCUGUGACUGCAUAGCUAGAGUACGGUAGAGGGGGAUGGAAUUCCGCGUGUAGCAGUGAAAUGCGUAGAUAUGCGGAGGAACACCGAUGGCGAAGGCAAUCCCCUGGACCUGUACUGACGCUCAUGCACGAAAGCGUGGGGAGCAAACAGGAUUAGAUACCCCGGUAGUCCCA